AUUGAACGNNNGCGGCGUGCCUAACACAUGCAAGUCGAGCGGUAACAGGUGUAGCAAUACAUGCUGACGAGCGGCGAACGGGUGAGUAAUGCUUUGGAAUCUUCCCAGUAGUGGGGAAUAACCAGUCGAAAGAUUGGCUAAUACCGCAUACGUCUGUAAAGGGAAAGCGGGGGCUCGUAAGACCUCGCGCUAUUGGAUGAGCCAAAGUCGGAUUAGCUAGUUGGUGGGGUAAUGGCCUACCAAGGCGACAAUCCGUAGCUGGUCUGAGAGGACGACCAGCCACACCGGAACUGAGACACGGUCCGGACUCCUACGGGAGGCAGCAGUGGGGAAUAUUGGACAAUGGGGGAAACCCUGAUCCAGCGACGCCGCGUGUGUGAAGAAGGCCUGCGGGUUGUAAAGCACUUUUAGUGGGGACAAAAAGCUACGGAUUAAUACUCUGUGGUCUUGAUUUAACCCAAAGAAAAAGCACCGGCUAACUCUGUGCCAGCAGCCGCGGUAAUACAGAGGGUGCGAGCGUUAAUCGGAAUUACUGGGCGUAAAGCGCGCGUAGACGGUUUUGUAAGUCAGAUGUGAAAUCCCUGGGCUCAACCUGGGAACUGCAUUUGUAACUGCAUGGCUAGAGUAUCGAAGAGGGAAGUGGAAUUUCCGGUGUAGCGGUGAAAUGCGUAGAUAUCGGAAGGAACACCAGUGGCGAAAGCGACUUCCUGGUCGAAUACUGACGUUCAUGUGCGAAAGCGUGGGGAGCAAACAGGAUUAGAUACCCUGGUAGUCCACGCCNUAAACGAUGACAACUAGAUGUUGGGAGGGUCUGCCUCUCGGUGUCGCAGCUAACGCGUUAAGUUGUCCGCCUGGGGAGUNCGGCCGCAAGGUUG
rnacentral:rRNA from 1 species